rnacentral:rRNA from 1 species
CCUACGUGAGGCAGCAGUGGGGAAUAUUGCGCAAUGGGCGAAAGCCUGACGCAGCGACGCCGCGUGAGGGAUGAAGGUCUUCGGAUCGUAAACCUCUGUCAGCAGGGAAGAACGGUCACUGUGCUAAUCAGCAGUGAAUUGACGGUACCUGCAAAGGAAGCACCGGCUAACUCCGUGCCAGCAGCCGCGGUAAUACGGAGGGUGCGAGCGUUAAUCGGAAUUACUGGGCGUAAAGCGCUCGUAGGCGGUAUGUCAAGUCAAGGGUGAAAUCCCCGCGCUCAACGUGGGAACUGCCUUUGAAACUGGCAAACUGGAGUGUGUGAGAGGAUAGUGGAAUGCCAGGUGUAGGAGUGAAAUCCGUAGAGAUCUGGAGGAACAUCAGUGGCGAAGGCGACUAUCUGGCACAUAACUGACGCUGAGGAGCGAAAGCGUGGGGAGCAAACAGGAUUAGAUACCCGAGUAGUC